UAGCAUAUAUUGUCCAAGAAGGGAAUUCUCCAUAUAUAUUAAUUAAUUUGGAGGAAAAUUGAACGGCAGUUGGAGAUUUCAAUACAGUAGCAAAAUGAUUCUGCUUUGGAGUUGAUACAGUAUCCAUAGGGGAUUUUGGACUAAUGGUGGACUCGAUUCAGCUUCAUUGUUUAGUUUCCAGCAUUGGUGUCAUCUGACUAGGGAAUGACAGAUCACUGAGAACACCUGAGCUAUAAGACCUUCAUUUUGUUUUACUGAAUUCAAAGUAAUCUUUUGAGGCCCUUUCUGGUUCUGGCAAUUCAGUCUUGGUGGAGAAAAUUUGCUAGAGAUCUCAAAGCUUGUGGGCUGAACACGUGGAGCUGGAGGCAACUUUUGACAGUUUUCAUUCUCAAGCUAGAUUGGAUUAUGGGUGGUUUUGAUAUCUUCUUUCUCACCAACAAAUGAUGUUCCCACAAAAUUACUGGUGUUAAGGUGAAGGUUGUGAAUCAAUGCAAAAUCCACAUUUAUAGAUGUGCCCUUUUACCUAGAGAUUAAGCUUUUAAUUUUUGAAUUUGGUAAUGUCAAGGGAAUAA